rnacentral:rRNA from 1 species
AGAGUUUGAUCAUGGCUCAGGAUUAACGCUAGCGGCAGGCCUAAUACAUGCAAGUCGAACGGCAGCGGGUGUAGCAAUACAUGCCGGCGAGUGGCGCACGGGUGCGUAACGCGUAUGCAACCUACCUAUAACUGGGGAAUAGCCUUCCGAAAGGAAGAUUAAUACCGCAUAAUAUCACGAGACGGCAUCGUUUUGUGAUAAAAACUCCGGUGGUUAUAGAUGGGCAUGCGUGACAUUAGCUAGUUGGUGAGGUAACGGCUCACCAAGGCUACGAUGUCUAGGGGGUCUGAGAGGAUGAUCCCCCACACUGGUACUGAGACACGGACCAGACUCCUACGGGAGGCAGCAGUAAGGAAUAUUGGACAAUGGCCGCAAGGCUGAUCCAGCCAUGCCGCGUGCAGGAUGAAGGUGCUCUGCAUUGUAAACUGCUUUUAUCCGGGAAUAAACUCCGCUAUUCUUAGCGGACUGAAUGUACUGGAAGAAUAAGGGACGGCUGACUUCGUGCCAGCAGCCGCGGUAAUACGAAGGUCCCAAGCGUUAUCCGGAUUUAUUGGGUUUAAAGGGUGCGUAGGCGGAUUAUUAAGUCAGUGGUGAAAUCCUACAGCUUAACUGUAGAACUGCCAUUGAUACUGAUGAUCUUGAGUUUGGUUGAGGUGGGCGGAAUGUGUCAUGUAGCGGUGAAAUGCUUAGAUAUGACACAGAACACCGAUUGCGAAGGCAGCUCACUAAGCCAAUACUGACGCUGAUGCACGAAAGCGUGGGGAGCAAACAGGAUUAGAUACCCUAGUAGUCC